rnacentral:rRNA from 1 species
GACGAACGCUGGCGGCGUGCCUAAUACAUGCAAGUAGAACGCUGAAGGAGGAGCUUGCUUCUCUGGAUGAGUUGCGAACGGGUGAGUAACGCGUAGGUAACCUGCCUGGUAGCGGGGGAUAACUAUUGGAAACGAUAGCUAAUACCGCAUAAGAGUAGAUGUUGCAUGACAUUUGCUUAAAAGGUGCAAUUGCAUCACUACCAGAUGGACCUGCGUUGUAUUAGCUAGUUGGUGAGGUAACGGCUCACCAAGGCAACGAUACAUAGCCGACCUGAGAGGGUGAUCGGCCACACUGGGACUGAGACACGGCCCAGACUCCUACGGGAGGAAGCAGUAGGGAAUCUUCGGCAAUGGACGGAAGUCUGACCGAGCAACGCCGCGGGAGUGAAGAAGGUUGUCGGAUCGUAAAGCUCUGUUGUAAGAGAAGAACGAGUGUGAGAGUGGAAAGUUCACACUGUGACGGUAUCUUACCAGAAAGGGACGGCUAACUACGUG